CAUGUUUAUUAUCAGCGUAUAGAUACUCAGCAUUAUUAUACAGUGCGACAUGUUUAUUAUCAGCGUAUAGAUACUCAGUAUUAUUAUACAGAGCGACAUGUUUAUUAGCAUAUAGAUACUCGGUAUUAUUAUACAGAGUGACAUGUUUAUUAUCAGCGUAUAGAUACUCAGCAUUAUUAUACAGAGCGACAUGUUUAUUAUCAGCGUAUAGAUACUCAGUAAUAUUAUACAGAGCGACAUGUUUAUUAGCGUAUAGAUACUCAGUAUUAUACAGAGCGACAUGUUUAUUAUCAGCGUAUAGAUACUCAGUAUUAUUAUACAGAGCGACAUGUUUAUUAUCAGCGUAUAGAUACUCAGGUUUAUUAUACAGAACGACAUGUUUAUUAUCAGCGUAUAGAUACUCAGGUUUAUUAUACAGAGCGACAUGUUUAUUAUCAGCGUAUAGAUACUCAGGAUUAUUAUACAGAGCGACAUGUUCAUUAACAGUGUAUAGAUACUCAGGAUUAUUAUACAGAGUGACAUGUUUAUUAUAGAGCAACAUGUUUAUCAGCAUAUAGAUACUCAGUAUUAUACAUAGCGACAUGUUUAUAAUCCGUGUAUAUAUAGUCAGUAUUAUUAUACAGAGCAACAUGUUUAUCAUCAGCGUUUAAAUACUCAGUAUUACUAUACAUAG